AUUGAACGCUGGCGGCAGGCCUAACACAUGCAAGUCGAGCGAGCGGCGGACGGGUGAGUAAUGUAUGGGGACUGCCCGAUAGAGGGGGAUAAAUACUGGAAACGGUAGCUAAUAACGCAUACUAUCGGAUAACCCAUAUGGGAUUAGCUAGUAGGUGAUGUAAUGGCUCACCUAGGCGACGAUCCCUAGCUGGUCUGAGUGGAUGAGCAGCCACACUGGGACUGAGACACUGCCCAGACUCCUACGGAGGCAGCAGUGGUGAAUAUUGCACAAUGUGCGCAAGCCUGAUGCAGCCAUGCAGCGUGUAUGAAGAAGGCCCUAGGGUUGUAAAUUACUUUCAGUCGGGAGGCGUUACCGACAGAAGAAGCACCGGCUAACUCCGUGCCAGCAGCCGCGGUAAUU
rnacentral:rRNA from 1 species